GGUGACAAAAGCGGCAGAAGAGUUGGAGAGUCAGCUGGAGGGAGAUGCUCAAGCCACUUUGGCUGGAAUUCAGAAAAUAAAAGAGGAGUCCCUUGCCUUUGAAGAAAUGCUGCGUACUGCGACAGACAUCGCCACUCGACUGGAGAGCUCCUCACGAACCCUGCAUGUGGAGAUGAUCGAACAGCUGAGGAAAAACACGAGACAGCCGCGCAAAGCUAAAUGACAGGAAAAACAGAUAAAAGUGUUAUAUGGCAUGUCACAUUAAUAUUUAUCCACAAACAGUAAAACAAUGUUGUCACCUUCAACAGUCCAUAUGUGGACCAAUUGACUGCAUUUUAUAUUUUAUGUUUUUAAAGGCACUUUUAUGCAGAGAAUAGACAGAAAUGCAAACUAUAUUUUUCUGUCUCGUUCGAUGUUCAUUUGCGAGCCAUAAUGAAGACAUAAUGGCAUUGUGUACAAGGAAAUUAAAAAAAAAAAAAAAAUCUUGGCAGUGAGGUGACAUCUUAAAAGAAUAUUCUCUUUCCAAGCACAGACAACCCCGCAGCUAUGGUCUGGCUGUCUUGGCGCUAGGGAGCAGAUGGUGAAAAGACUGUGUGAGGGUCUGGAAAUCAGCAGCAUGAACUCUUAUGUGCUGGAGAGAGAGAGAGAGAGAGCAAGAUGGAAAAGAAAGAAAGGAAGUGAUGUCACUAAGAAAAAAAUUUAAACGUGACUAAAAGAGUCAGAAGAAAAAAGAAUCCAAUGUCUUUGGGACUAAAGAAUGUUAUUUUGAAAUAUGUUGUGAUUACUCGAGUCUAUGAUUAAAAUAUACUGUAAGUAUACUAUUAAAAUAUAAGUGUAUAACUCUG